rnacentral:rRNA from 1 species
UUAACCUUAGGGAGGGCGCUUACCACUUUGUGAUUCAUGACUGGGGUGAAGUCGUAACAAGGUAACCGUAGGGGAACCUGCGGUUGGAUCACCUCCUUACCUUAAAGAA